GGAAUGGUGUUUUCUGCUUCCAGUAUUCAUUUGAAUAGCCUCAGAGCAUCUUGGGGGAGAGUACAUAGCAGGCUGUGGGGGCUCCCAGACCUCUUGAAGUGAGAUUGCCACAGUCCUCUCCCAGGAUGGGGGGUGCUGAGGGCUAGAGUCCCAGCAUGCAGGUGAGCUCUGAGAGUGAGGGAGACGUGAGAGAUGAGCUAGUUUGGGCCCUGGUAGAAAAGCCAGGAGCAUCUACCUCUCAUAACUCUGACUUGGGCUCAGUUCAGCUGUGCCUCAGGGUUUGAACACAUGAAUUUUCUUCUGGGCACUGUUUUCCUCUAGUCAGUGGCAGCUAGUCUCUGGGUCUCUUGUACGUUUAACCCUCUGUGGCUUUGAACCCCCUUUCAGUACUUGGAAACAUAGUAAGGGCAUGGAUGGAUAGUGGAUGCUCUUUGUUGUUUGAGCUGGGUUUCUGUAUUUCAGGUUGGCCUUGGACUCACCGUGUAACCCAGAUUGGCCUUGGUUUACCAUGCCUCUUCUACCUCAGCCUCCUCAGCCAGGAUCACAGCUAUACACCAACACAUCAGCCAACAUCCAACCCAAACAUUUCCCUCCCUCACACUGAAUCACAAUUUUGGCUGAGCCAAUUGGUGUAGAAGGAAGAGACCAAACAAAGGUUGGGUAAGUGUGGGGAUUGAACUGUAUAUAACAUUCCUUCAACAAACAUCACCGAAACCUCCUGCUUUGUUGUAGGACUUUUCUUAGUUGCAACUUGUAUAGGGCGUAUACCCCAUGCCUGUCAAGGAACUCAACAUUUAUGGAGGACAGAUGAAAAGAUGAGGGGAAUGCUGAAAAGCAUCAUGGGAGCGAGAUUCUCCCAGGGGAAUAUCUCUUCAGAGAAUGUAUUUUCAGAGAAUAUCUCACUGGAGAAUGUAUCUUCAGGGCAUGUCUCCUCAGAGACUGUCUCCUCAAAGUUCUCCUCAGAGUCCCAAGUAUGUCUUUCACCUUAGGGAAGAAUCAGUCUGAUUUCUGAUGUAGAAGUUUCAAAAAUGUCCUAUAUUGAAUGUACUUUGUUUAGCCACAUAAGGUUUGUAAAACAUUAUCAGUUCCAAUUACAGAAAUGAGAGGUUUGUCUCAAAUGCCUGGGACUCUGAUCCUGAAGAUAUCGGGAUCACAUUUUACUAUAGUGUCUGGCUCCGUGAGCACACACCGGGGAGAGGGGGAUGGCUUUCCCAGUUCUGCAUUCUGACGUUCCGAUUGUGGCCCUCACCUGAGAGUCUCAGAGUCUGGCUGCUGUUCUAAUGUCACAUACAGGGUCUCCAGCAGGUUUAGAGGGGCCCACUCUUGGCUAGGAGGGGGAGGUCCAUCCCAGUCUCCAUUCUAGGAAGCCAUGGUGUGUUCGAGUUCCUCGAAUGAAUGCAGAGGUAUGAAAAGUCCCUUCCGAUCUUCACAGGUGUACCUUCCAAUUCAAAUAGUUUUCCUUUUCCUAUUUGCUCAUCUGAAAAGUCCCCCAGAUCCUUCUGCUUAUUAACAAGCUGCACAGCAGGCUGUGCUUAAAGUUCAGAGCGCCAUAGGAUACAGAGCCGUAAUUAAUCUCAGUCCCUCAGUUCUAGAACACGAAGAGCAAUUAUAAUUUACUGUCGGAAAACCAAUUUGGAGAAGCGGUGGUUUUCAUGCCCCUGAUCAGAGUGCCACGAAAUGCCACUUCCUGUCCCCGUGCCUCCUGCCAGGAGAGCAAGACCUUUAGUUGCUACAAGUCUGGGGGAGGGGUAGUGUCAGGACACAUUAGACAGGAACCUGGGUGAGCUACCAGGCCCACAGUGCCUCUUGCUAUCCUAUCCAACCUGGGCUCACAGCUGGCUUGGGUCCCUUCUUCCUCCUAGCACUGCGGUGUGUGGUUCCAAGGCAGAUAUCAGGGACAUUCUUGAUUCUCUGCCCUCCCUCCUUCCCUGUUACUGUCCCAACAUUCCAGGCCACCCUCAAGCUUCUACUUUCCCGGAACUUUCCAUUUAUCUCGUAUUUUCUCUUUGCUCAAGGUCAAAUUGUCAUUACAUCAAAAAGAACACGAGGACAGUCCUCAUGCCUUACCAGAUGAAUCUCUAUUUUGUCACCAUGGCUGAUGUGCAGGGCCAGCAAGCAGCCCACGUGGCAGAGAACAGCUCUGCCUUCCAGGGUUUAUGGUAUUGUCUGCCUUCCUGCCCAGUCUAUGCCAUAUCCUACUUAUCUGCUGGUCUCAGAACUCAGAAUCAGACCCUAAGCAGAAUGGGCUGUAUGUACUGGUACCGUGCGUGCGUGGUGCGUGCGUGGUGCGUGCGUGGUGCGUGCGUGGUGCGUGCGUGGUGCGUGCGUGGUGCGUGCGUGGUGCGUGCGUGGUGCGUGCGUGGUGCGUGCGUGGUGCGUGCGUGGUGCGUGCGUGGUGCGUGCGUGGUGCGUGCGUGGUGCGUGCGUGGGCGGUAUGUACUGUACUGGUCCCUCCCCUCUCUACUCCCUCCCUCCCUUCCUUCCUUGGAUCAGAGCCUGUGGUAAUAUUGGGGACAUUGAAAUUAAUAUAUCUAGACUGAACAUGUAGCUCAGAGUGUCUGUGUAGCAUGUAUGAGGUCAAAGGUACAAGAUCCAAUGUCACAAUAAGGACAGUAAAAUGGGCAUAGCCUUGCCUACCGCACAGUGUUAUGAGAGAGGACCCAAAGCUUGCUGAGAGUGUGAUGGGGUAGCAGGAGCAUGGGGGUGGAGUCAGUGACCCUAGGGCAAGGCCUGGAUUCCUGGAUUCUGAUCCCUAGCUCUCAGAUGGUUCUAACUGGCCCCCUCCCCACCACGGAGGGAGGAACCGUAUUCUGGAGCUCACUAAAAGGCCAUCACCUGAACAGUACUUCAGAUGAGGGAUUCUGCAUUUGGAAUCCACCUAUUUUCCAGGCAAGCAAGGUUCCAGAGGGCAGGUGGAGGACCGUGGGGUUCACAGUGCUUGUGUGGUACGGAGUGACAGAGAGGAAACAGCUAGGAGGAGAUGCUCAGAGUUCAAGGGGUCUGUGGGAGGGAGGAAUAAAAAGCAGUUUCCAAGGGUCACAGAAGAGGUCACAGCUAAACUACUUCCAGGAGUUUGGUAGACAAUAGAACUCAGGGCAGGAAGCAGGAAGCAGCUAUGGGGAGAGAGAGGCCAGUGGAGGCAACCCUAAGAGGCAGUUCUCAGCUAAAGAAAAAGCCUGGCCCCUCAGGGCACAAUUAAUAUCCCUUUGUCCCCUACUGUGCAGACGGUUACGUGGUACUAGGGAUAAAGUUCUGUCUUGAGUUCCUCAGCUCUGCCACCAGUUUGGUACUCACAAGUGACUCCGACUCUGUGCCUCAGGUGACUUGUGUACCUGCCAGGGUCCGGAUCAGGUGUCUGGACCACGACUGAUGGAUCACAGUACCAAUCCUGAGGACUCGAACAUCAGGAAAGACGCUCGGUGGGAAUGAUGCUGUUGACAACUGGGAGCCUACGGGAUCCUGGACCCUUGAUCAAAAUAAAAAGAUCUCAGGAUCAUUUUAUGUGGAGGACCAAAUUCACUCCCAUUUUACAGAAAAGACGAGUAAGGUUGGGAGAAGCCAGGCAAUCUGUCCAAGGCCACACAGCAGACAAGUGGCUGAGCUGGGUUCUUAACCUGAGCAGUGUGGCCUCCAAAUUCUUGUGCUUUCUUUUCAGCAUGGAGACAGUCUCCCUAUAACACCUUCCAGGUUCUGUUUGUCUGAAGUCUGCGUUGGCAGACCCAGAGCAGGUGCUCUGACAGCAUGUACCCUGGUUCCACUGCAGGUAGACUCUCCUUCCUCCUGGGUACACUGGAGCUCUGGUAUCUAAAACCCAGGCUUUGAUCCUCCCUCCCUCCCUCAGUGGGCAGAAUGUGGCCAGGAGCUUGGAGACCCCAAUCAGUACAGACAGCGAUGUCCAAGCCACAUUGAUUGGCAGAUGGAAAUUUGCAUACAUAAUGUAAUUUGGCCCAAUUGAAUUGUCGAUGAAACGAGUCACUUGACAAGCGGCAAGCACUCUGCCGGGUGACUGGGAAGACGAGAGGCUCUUGAGAUGCCCGGAGCGCAAACACUUUUGUUUUUGAAGGAGAUGGCCAUUUCCCAACUCCACAUUCUAGCAGCCUUCACACUCCCUGCUCCCAUCCCCCGCCCCUCACCCCAGGUCACAGCUGGGAGCUGUUGAGACGAAGAACUUAUGGGUAAUUAGCGUCCCGGGCAGCACAGUGAACACGCUCAGGGUACAGGUGGAGCAGCUGGCGGGUCAAGACGUCUUCCUGUGUCGGACAGGUGACUGGAAGCCAAUGGUUAGGCUUUGAGUCUGAGUAGUAGAACCCCACAUCUAUAUCCAGUCAGCAACUGGUUCCUUUAGGACAACGUGAGUCUGCAUUCUAGCCCAUGCACCUGCUUCUUGACUAUGUGAACUUGAGAACCUGGCUCUGUCUCUCUCUGCUUCAGUUUCCCCCUUCAUAAGACUGAGAGAACGCUCUGCUGUCAUUUCCGGACUUUUCCAAGUACCAACUCCUCACUGCCCCAGAGUGUUUGCACAAUUUGCAGAAGAGUUUUUGAAUGAUGUAGCUACAUGACACCCACUGCACCCAAGUCUACCAUCCUAGGAACAUCAUUUGGGUGUUCUUUGACGGCAACACAAGGAGCCUUUCUGGGACCCUAAUUCAAGAUGGAGGAAGCCAAGGGCUGAGAAUAGAGCCCUAUGAUACUGUACCAGAUACUUUUGUCUAAAGUACUACAAGACAAUAUUCUGCAGAUUUCCGGUACUUUGAAGGCUAAUUGGAUAAUAAAUUGUGGGUAAAUA